CGAACGCUCACAUAUAUGUAUCACAAAGAAAGCAAUUUUUGGAGUUAAUAAGCAUGUUUAGAUAUGAUCUCAUGAAUGGAAUGCUAUUACUUAGAUGUGAGAACCAGUGACACCAUAUGCUCAUAUCAAUUUCAAACUCCACACAUUGAAACGCAUGACACUCAAGAUGAAGUUAAGGGUUGUAACGAGGCUUGGGGUGAUGGCUAACAAAUGAAGGAUAAGGAUAACAAUCGUUCUUAAAGCAAUAGCAAGUAAAGUAAUGAAAUUGAAACUUAGAAUUCACUUAGAUUGCAGAAAUCAACUUUUAGACACGAAAGGAAAAUUCAAGCAAUAUUUAGGGCCGAAUUCUAUGUUUUGGACCCUUUCUUCAACAAGCAGCACUUUAAAACUCUUUUUCGCAUAUUUUUUUUUUUUUUUUUUCAACUCUUCUUUUCUUUUCAACAAGCAUAAUAACUCACACUUCCCCCACACUUUUUUUCUGCCAUACAUUAAUCAAAAGAAAUUCAAUUUGAAUCAUGCUUUACUAUGCUUUAAGAACAAGGGUAUGGAUGGUCCUAAACUAGGCUAGGUAAGGAUAAUGUGAUUUAACAAAGAAUGUAGGCUAUCAAGGCUCAAUGGGGUUAACUUAAACAUAUAACGAUAUGGAAUACAUGGCAGUUUGGCUUUGGUGGUGGUAACUACACAACUUCAUCUUGAAUAU
rnacentral:lncRNA from 1 species